rnacentral:rRNA from 1 species
ACGGGGCCCGCACAAGCGGUGGAGCACGUGGUUUAAUUCGAUGACAAACCGAAGAACCUUACCUGGGUUUGACAUGUACGUGGUACGGAUAUGAAAGUUGAAGGACUCCGCUUUCGGGUGGAGAGCGUACACAGGUGCUGCAUGGCUGUCGUCAGCUCGCGUCGUGAGAUGUUGGGUUAAGUCCCGCAACGAGCGCAACCCCUGCAUUCAGUUGCCAUCGGGUGAAGCCGGGCACUCUGGAAGGACUGCCAUCGACAAGAUGGAGGAAGGUGGGGACGACGUCAAGUCAUCAUGGCCCUUAUGUCCAGGGCGACACACGUGCUACAAUGGCCGGCACAACGGGAAGCGAGUUCGCGAGGACGAGCGGAUCCCUUAAAGCCGGUCGCAGUUCGGAUUGAAGUCUGCAACUCGACUUCAUGAAGCUGGAAUCGCUAGUAAUCGCAGAUCAGCCAAGCUGCGGUGAAUACGUUCCCGGGCCUU